rnacentral:rRNA from 1 species
GUGGGGAAUCUUAGACAAUGGGGGAAACCCUGAUCUAGCCAUGCCGCGUGAGCGAUGAAGGCCUUAGGGUUGUAAAGCUCUUUCAGCUGGGAAGAUAAUGACGGUACCAGCAGAAGAAGCCCCGGCUAACUCCGUGCCAGCAGCCGCGGUAAUACGGAGGGGGCUAGCGUUAUUCGGAAUUACUGGGCGUAAAGCGCACGUAGGCGGACUGGAAAGUUGGGGGUGAAAUCCCGGGGCUCAACCUCGGAACUGCCUUCAAAACUCCCAGUCUUGAGUUCGAGAGAGGUGAGUGGAAUUCCGAGUGUAGAGGUGAAAUUCGUAGAUAUUCGGAGGAACACCAGUGGCGAAGGCGGCUCACUGGCUCGAUACUGACGCUGAGGUGCGAAAGCGUGGGGAGCAAACAGGAUUAGAUACCCUUGUAGUCC